rnacentral:lncRNA from 1 species
GCCGGGUGUACCAAGUCCAUGAUGCACAUGAGGAGCGUUUGUAGCCAUCACUGAAUCACCUCAUGACUAGCGGGGCAGGCCUCUAAUUCACCGCAGGAUUUCCGGUGGCCACAGAGUGCAUCUGCUCUGGGGGACCCAUCGCUCAUAUACCCUCCCAGAAGAGCAGGAAAGGGGAUUCGUAAAUACGUUCUUCUGAUGGGGAAUGCUCUAUGAGGCCGCCUUCACAUGGUGAGUAGUGACCGUGACACCUCUGCAGCGUCCCUGGUCACUUGUAGCCCCUGAAAGGGUCAGCAGGAGCAGAUCACUUCUUUUCUUCAGGGCUGGAGAAAGUACCUCCGUGCAUUUUCCAGCCUCAGGGCCCGCCUGGCAGGACUACUGAGCAAGGCCUUGGAAAAUCGGAGCGAUUAGAGCGGUGAGUCGCGCUGGUCACACUGCACACCUGCGGGUUGGGAGAUUCUGGAGCCAG